GUAAGAGAGGAAUCUAGACGGGGCGAAAGAAGAAACGGAGCUAAGACAAAUUCAUUCUGAUCAAAGCUCAAAUUUUAUUGUUGGGACACUAGUUAUGAAGGAAGGGGGAGGGGACCCGAUUCCCGCCGAAUAAUCUCGGGUCCAGUAGAAAGGUGCACGUGUGUGGCUCCUCAGGUUCCAGCAGUGGGCGUGGCAGAACGAAUGAGCAGGAAGCUCCACCCUGAGCAAGCAGGUUUCAGGCUGGGGGAGGGGAGACUACAAAGAUGAAUGUUUCAAAUUUAGUUCUUUUAUUUCACAGAUGAAGAAACUGAAGUCAAACAUUAUUUUUAAUUUUUUUUAACUUAUUCAUUUUAUAUACUGCUCACUGCCCCCUCCUGGUCACCCCCACCCACAAUUCUUCCCCAUUUCCCCUCCCUUUUUCCUCUGAGCAGGUGGGCCCCUCCUGGGUAUCACCCUACCCUUGCAACUUAAAGUCUCUGCACAUCUAGGUGCUUCUGCUCCUACUGAGGCCAGACAAGGCAGCCCAGCUAGAAGAACAUAUCCCACAGACAGGCAACAGUUUUUGGGAUAGAGACUGCUUCAGUUGUUCGUGACCCAUAUGAAGACCAAGCUGCACAUCUGCUACACAUGUGCAGAGGGGCCUAGAUACAUCCCAUGUAUGUCCUUUAAUUGGUGUUUCAGACUCUGAAAGCACCAAUUGCCCAGGUCAGUUGACUCUGUUGUUCUUCCUGUGAAGUUCCUAUCCUUUUGGGGGCUUGUAAUCCUUCCUCCUAUUCGACCAUAAGAGUCCACAAGCUUUCUUCACCAUCGUCUACCAUAAGAGUCCACAAGCUUUCUCCAACAUUGUUUGGCUGUGGGUGUCUGUAUCUGUCUGAAUGAGGUGCUGGGUGGAGCCUUUCAGAGGAUAGUCAGGCUAGACUCCUGUACACAAGCACAACAUAAUUUAAUUAAUAGUGUCAUGGAUUGGUGCUUGCCCAUGGGAUGGGACUCAUGUGGGGCCAGUUAUUGCUUGGCCAUUCCUUCAGUGUCUGUUGCAACCCCAUGCCUGAAGGCCUUUAUUUAUCCUUUGUUUUAAUUUUCCUUUUUAGCCCCAAUGGUAAGAUUACUGCAUGGACAAAUUAGAGCCAUUUCUUCCUUCAUUCUUUUGGUCACUCAGUGAGAUAAGUUUGUCAAGUUUAGAAAAUAUUCAUUUUAGUAUUUUUAAAAAAAUUGUCCCUUGUAUUACCUGAGGGUAUAUUUAAACUAAAAUUAUUCAUUAUCUGAAAUUCAGCUUUAUGUAUAAUUCUUAUUUUUUUCCAGUGUGAUAGUCAACCUUUAUCUUUAGAUCCUAGUUUUCGGCAUCCAGCAUUGUGUGUGUGUGUGUGUGUGUGUGUGUGUGUGUACAGGCACACAUUUGGAUAUAUUGUAGAUGCAUGUCUUUGUGUAUGUGUGUACCCAUGUGUUCACAUAGAGUAUACCAUGUGUACCACAAAGGAGUAGCAUGGCUGUCCUCCUGUAACAGGUGUUUCACUGAACCUGGAACUUGUCUGCAAAUCACAACACCCCAAUAAUCCCCCCGUCUCUGCCAGUCACUGUGGUAGCAUGAUUGGCUUCUUGAUGGAUGCUGAGGAUCUGAAGAGAGAGUUUAUUUUUUAAUGCACACAGCCAUUUCCCCAGCCUCUUUUUUUUUUUUUUUAUCUGUUCUAAUGUCAGGCAUUUUGAUGUUGUCUAUGUGAAGAAAACAGGAGAUUGGAUAAAAUGCUUUUCUGUACAGUCUGAACUCAGUGAAUCUUGAGAGGAUCACUGGAUUUGCCUGAAUCCUGCUUUUGGGGCCACCCUUGAGCAGUUCACUGCUUCAGCUACUUACCAAAGUCUGUUCUAUAUGGAGAGACUCACUUGGGGCUUCUCUCUUUUCUACCAAGUGUAUCUUGAGCUUUAUAAUAAACAAGGGCACAUAAUAAGAGAGAUUUCUGAGUUGAAGUCGGGUGCAUAAAUGGUACUUUAUCAUAAAAAAAAUUGCCAGAGAUUCACUAGGGAAUCUAGGGAAUAUAUGAUAAAUCAGUGACUAUUUAUACUAGAGAAUCAGUACCAGAGAAGAGAAUGAACUAUAGAAAUGUAGCCCAGUGUUUAGCAAAUGUGACUGAGCAAUGCAAACUCAACAGAGAUCAAUUACAAAAGGAGCCCUUAAGUUUCACUCCUGAAGAAUUGAAUAGAGAAAGUCUUGGAUUGAUCCCUAGGUCCUGGUGAUCCUUGACCCAUACUGAAGAUGCUAUAUAUUUAAAGUAGUGCUGGCUUAUUGUGUAUUAAGGUAACUAGCACUUCUAAUAUAAUCCUGUUUCUCUUUUCUUUCAACUGUGAUUCAGCCCCCCCCACCCCCGAUUCAGUAUUUACCGUCAACUUCUCCAUUCAUUACAUUAAUGUGAACAGUCUAUUGAAAAUCUACCAUUUUGCCAGUGAAAACAUAAACUGAAAAUUAGAAAGUUACUUCCAGUUUUUUCCUCAAAAAAGGUUCUAAGUAUUUGGGAGUUUUACCUCAAAUUUGAUCAAUAGAACACACUAAGAAUUUCUUGAGGCAACUAGCUAGAUUUGAUUUAUUUUCGAGAACAACCAGCAGCUGACUUAAUGUACAAUGUAAAUUUCCUUCUUUCUACUUCGUAGUAUAUAUUGAGACAUGAUUUAUCUUUUCUAGACCCAACAGCACAUCUUCUAAGUGGAGAAGGGUGUGGCAGUACAGUGCCAACCUAUAUUAACUAACAUAAUAAAUUACCUAUUUCAAGUCAUGACUUUGGCCAUGAGAAUCAGUAGAGUGUAUAAAAAUGACCAUAAUGUUGGGAAAUCUUCACAGGCUUUGAAAAACUCCUCUGAUGGAUGUGGCUCCCUUCAGCAUUAUACAUAGUUGACAGAAGACAUGUUUGCUGACCUCUGAAAGAGAAUCAGUUUCUGGCAAUGAGAAAUCCUCUAGUGCUCUGGUAUCUUUUAUAUGCACCUAAAUAACAAGGUUUCAAUCCUAUACUUUUAAUUUGGAACCAGACACUAUGUGCUGGGUUCAAAUGGCUAACAAGUGUAAUUCAUCCAAUGGGUUCAUAUUGAGCCCUGAGUUGAAGACACAUAUUCAUUGUUUUAUUGAUAUAUUCUCAGUGAAAUUCUCCUCAAAACACUUCAGUUUGCAGGCAUAAGUUAACUACUAUUACUUUAGGUUAUCUAUGUGUGCUUAAAAUGGUGUUAGUUCCUUUAAAUAUGCAUGUUUUUGUUCAUUACUCAAGUGAAUUACAGGCAAAGUAGAGAUAGUCAAUUCUAUUUAUUGAAAAUGAAUUACAUUCUUAAAUUCAUCUAUCCAACCAACUUCUAUUUAUCAUGACUAUGUGCUAGACACUACUCUAGGUUCUGGGAUGACAGCAGCAAACAAAAAGUAUUUUCUUUCAAGAAAUCAUGUGAUGAUAGAGAAUGCAAUUUCAUAUUACAUUCAUGUAAUCACGAUGUAGGAGUCUUUGGCAAUGGUAACAAGCUGAAGGGCCCAAGUGUGAAUGCUUCAAUAUUAUUUGGGAGGGAGAAGAAAGCAAUCACAGGGGACAGAGGAACUGAGGGCCCCGGGUGAGAGAAGGGAAAAGGAGAACAUGAUCAGGUAUUGGGCCAGUGGAACAGGACUGAAGCCCUGAGGGCCAGCAAAAUGAAUGAAAACAGUCAACCUUGGGAGGUAGGAGGUGGGAUGAUGCUCUAGAUUGAACCAGAGACCUUGGAGGUGAGAAACUUUAAGGACUCAAAGGGAGGGAUCUCUGAUGAAGUGCCCAACAGUGGGGAGAGGG
rnacentral:lncRNA from 1 species